CCCGAUCCUGUCCCGAUCCCCUCCCUCAGCCCGGCCCCGAGCCCGGCCCGAUCCCCUCCCUCAGUCCGGCCCGAUCCCUUGUCUCAGCCCGGCCCCGAUCCCAGUUCCGAUCCCCAUCCCGAUCCCAGUGCCGAUCCCAUCCCCACCCCGAUCCCGUCCCGAUUCCAUCCCGCCCCGAUCCCAGUGCCGAUCCCAUCCCCACCCCGAUCCCGUCCCGAUGUAGCCCCGCUGCCCGCGUGGCUGAGGCAGCAGCUAUGGGAGUUACACCUCUGCUAGCCAGACCUUCCUCCAGGCUUGGCAAUCUGUCUGCUGCAGGGAUGCCCAGGCUGGGUUUGAGGAGGCACCAGCCCGUCAGAUGAAGCUCAGGAGCUCUGAGGAGCAGCAGCAUCACCUGUUUGACCUUUUCCAGGGAUAUCUACCGAGAUCUUCACUCACACCUUCAACUUCUCCAGGAGCAGCU